AGAGGCAUUUUCUUUCUGAUCUGUGCCAGUGUCGCUGUCCCGUGAGAGGGAUGACAACUAUAAAGUAUCUGGUCAUAAAAUAACUCAUCCCGAUAAGCCAAAUUAGUAAGGCUAGCUGAAGGUAUGCAGAUAUCAAAAUGGAAAAUGGCGCAAAAAUGGUACGUAAAGCCGGAUCUAAAUAAUUCUCAGUUUUUAUAAUCGCAUUUUAUUUUACUAAAAUCACAUGGCGGAUCUAUGCUUGACAUUUAAGAAAUGUUUUGAUAAUGACAAAGGCAGUUGUUGUGAAGCCUUUGUCUUGCACCAUAGAAAAAGUUCAGUUUUUAUCUGAUUUCAAGGUGUCAGAUUGACUGAAACUAUGUUUUCUUUAAUCAUGAACCCCAUUUUUCUUUUGAUAACAAUGCUGUCGUCUCAAUAGCUCAGUAUUAGAUUGUCCGCUUUGAGUGCGGUUGGUCUAGGGUUCGAUCCCCGGUCGCAUCAUGUGUGAAAACUGGUACUGUGAGCUCCAUUGUAUGGCACUCGACAUUUACCUAGUUUUGUCGCUCAAGAGAUUUGUAGCUCGUGUUGUUUGUUCAUUCUAUGCAACGUUAAAUAAUGCUUUGCUUAACCUUUCUGGGGUUUUAUUGGACUUAACCAAAAUAUUUUAUUCAAAAAGCAAAAAUCAUAUGAUUUUAUAAAAUGAGUGUAAAUGUUUUAUUCUAGAUAUUUAUAAUCAUAGUGCGCAUGCGCGAGAAAUGGUGGUGCAAAUUUUUUUUUCAGGAUAAACAAAUAUGGAAAUAUACUUUAAAUAAGUGAAAGAAAGCUACAAUAUUAUGUGACUUAUUGUGUAUCUUGUAUGUGAUUGCAUUACUGAUGACAAGAAACUGUAAAAAGACUAAAGAAUCACCAGGAAGUAGUCAGACCGAGCUCAAACAACGGACAACAAUGGCUCGAAAUGGCGGGAUCAGGGCAUUCAGUAUAGCACAAAUUCAAAUAUCAGGCAACAAUGGCUCGAAAUGGUUGGAUCAAUGCAUUCAAUAUAGCCCAUACUCAAACAUCAAGCAACAAUGGCUUAAAAUAGCGGGAUCAGGGCAUUCAAUAUAACCAAAACUAAAAAAUCGGGCAAUAAUGGCUUAAAAUGACGGGAUCAGGGCAUUCAAUAUAGCCCAAACUCAAACAACAGACAACAAUGGCUCAAAAUGGCGGGAUCAGGGCAUUCAAUAUAGCCCAAACUCAAACAACAGACAACAAUGGCUCAAAAUGGCGGGAUCAAGGCAGUGUUGCAAUAUAGCCGGAAUGCAUGUUAUUAGACAAGUCAAACUUUUAAUAUGAAUAUGCAACAAAUGCUGCAAAUAUAUCAGCAAAAUACACCAUACAUGGGAAUGAACUCAGCAUAACCUGUGUUGCAAGCCGUAUUUCAGAGAUUUCGCGGCAUUGUUAUAGAUUUUUUGAUAUCUGUUUAAUAUACGAAAACAGCAGGUGAUAGUUCUUAAUUUUUGUAGAAGGUUUUACAUUUCAAAAUUUAUAUUUCCAAGGUUUGUUUAAUUAAACGCACUUGUUGGUAAGGCUCUAUGGGUAGGGUAGUGUGUAGUACUUCUUUUUUAAAUAGUAUAUUAUGGCACCAUUAACCGGGGGUUGAACAUCUAUAUGCAGCUCGUCUGGGCAUACCGUGUGAUGCUUUAAGCAAUGGCAUUCACAAUAGGGGUAAAGUGACCUCAAGGGGAGGGGUGCGGUCAUGACUGUUUGUUAUAAUUAGGCUGUUAUUAUUAUUAUUGUUAGAAUUGUCAUUAAUAAUAUUUUUAUGAUAAUAAUUAUCAUUAUUAUGUACAACGCCAUUGAAUAUAUCAUUGUAUAAAAAAUAGGCGUUUAAUCAAAUUAUUCAGUUUCAGUUUCAGUUUGCAAGCUGGUAGCACCCCAACAACCCCAUCAAUGCAGACAUUCCCAAAUCAAAACAUGGACAUGUUUACAAUGUUAUUUCAAUGGCUUUAUUCUAUGGAUGCAGGUUUUGGCAGCUAUAUACACAAAGGUGCAUCCCAUUGUGGACUUGCAGGCAAUGAAGAGGCAGACAAACUGGCUAAGCAAGGAGCUCAGUCAGAACAACCAACAGAACCUGUGAGUUACAAGGAGAAAGUCACCAUCAUCAAGGCACUAACAAGACCAAGGAUGGAGGAAGAUGCUUUUCAUCUCCUUGAUCGGUCUGAGCAAGUGAUGAUGGUCAGGCUCCGCUCAGGGCACAACAAGCUCAAUGCUCACAUGUACAAGAAAUACAGACUGGCACCAUCGCAAACUUGUCCAUGUGGUGAAGAAGAUCAGACUGCGGAGCACAUACUUCAGAGAUGUAAAAAACAUAACCAGGAGCGAGCUGCGACUUGGCCGAUAGAUACCUCAAUCCACCAGAAACUGUAUGGAGGUAUUGAGGAUCUGCGGCAAACCACAAGUUUCAUCGAGGCUGCUGGUCUGACAGUGUAGUCGCGAACGACAAGAAGAAGAAGAAGAUACACAAAUAACUAUUUUCUCAUCAUCAAACAUAUACAUGAGCGUGGCGCAACAGUAAAGUUUUCUAAAGUCAAAAACUUUACGAAGUGCUCUUAGACGCUGUUUUGUUCCUGAGAUCAAUAGAAAUUCCUGUGAAAACGACAUGUGCCGAAGCUCGUAAGAAUUAAAGAGGACUUUUCAAAUUAGAUUCAACUAAGCUGGAAAAUUAUGAAUUUGUGUAACUCAUCGAAAGGACUUUCAAUAUUUGUAUGUCUUUGUAUGUGUAGUCAUCUUUAUUACUGUCAAAUAAUAAAUGACACGUAUAACCUUCUGAAUGACAAACUAGCAAAUUAUAACCGGAAGAUCCGACCCACUUUCAACCAAUCGGCUCCCACUGAAGUGAAGUUUGGUUUUCAACUGGUAGCCAUUAGUGAGUUUGACGAGUUACAAGAAAAACUUUCAGUUGUUGGUGUCAUCCAUCUAAACUGGGUUGACGAGAUGAUUCAAUGGAACCCGCU